ensembl:lncRNA
AAAAAGAUUUUCCAAUGAGUUAUAUAGAACAAUCUUUACUUGGUAGUUUAGUUUAUUUUGGUUUAAUUAUAGGAACUAUUAUUGCUAGUAUAUUAUUUGAAGUAAUAUCAGCAAAAAUAUUAGUGACGAUAAGUAUACUGUUAUUAUCUAUAUCAUUGUAUAUAUUUAGUUAUGCUACUUGUAUUACUUUUAUGUAUAUAUCUAGGUUUAUUAAUGGUUUAUGUCAGGCUAUACCUGUUGUUUAUUUACCUGUAUGGGUGGAUGAAUUUUCACCUAAUGAGAAAGCUACGCAAUGGAUGUCUUAUAUUCAGUUAGCUUCUAUAGGAGGUACUGUUUUGGGUUAUUUUUUAGGUGGUAUUUUAUCAAAUAAUUAUAAUACUUAUAAUACAAAUGAUUUUAUAUUUACACAUGUUUCAAUUUUCACUACAUGGAGAUCUCCUUUUUUAAUACAAGCUGUUUUAUUAAUACCAUUAUUUUUAAUACUUAUUUUUAUUCCGUCAGAUAUUAUUAAUAUUAAUUCAAACAGUAGUGACGAUGGAAGUACUAUUAGUAACCAUAGUACUAUCAUUUCAAACGUUUAUAAAAAUAAUUUAAAUAAAUAUAAAAAAAAAACAAUAACUGAUUAUGAUGAAACUUAUCACUGUAACACAUAUGGAGAUAAUUAUAAUAAUACCUCUAAUGAAAAUGAUGAUACAUACAUUUAUCACGAACAGUACGAGUUGUUGUCUAAUGAUGUGAGCGAGACGGAUGAACAAAUUUCUACACAAGUUGAUCAAGUUGGUCAAGUUAGUCGUAAUAGUUGUGCUACAGNNNNNNNNNNAGUAACGUUAGAGGAGAUACAAAAAGAUUUUCCAAUGAGUUAUAUAGAACAAUCUUUACUUGGUAGUUUAGUUUAUUUUGGUUUAAUUAUAGGAACUAUUAUUGCUAGUAUAUUAUUUGAAGUAAUAUCAGCAAAAAUAUUAGUGACGAUAAGUAUACUGUUAUUAUCUAUAUCAUUGUAUAUAUUUAGUUAUGCUACUUGUAUUACUUUUAUGUAUAUAUCUAGGUUUAUUAAUGGUUUAUGUCAGGCUAUACCUGUUGUUUAUUUACCUGUAUGGGUGGAUGAAUUUUCACCUAAUGAGAAAGCUACGCAAUGGAUGUCUUAUAUUCAGUUAGCUUCUAUAGGAGGUACUGUUUUGGGUUAUUUUUUAGGUGGUAUUUUAUCAAAUAAUUAUAAUACUUAUAAUACAAAUGAUUUUAUAUUUACACAUGUUUCAAUUUUCACUACAUGGAGAUCUCCUUUUUUAAUACAAGCUGUUUUAUUAAUACCAUUAUUUUUAAUACUUAUUUUUAUUCCGUCAGAUAUUAUUAAUAUUAAUUCAAACAGUAGUGACGAUGGAAGUACUAUUAGUAACCAUAGUACUAUCAUUUCAAACGUUUAUAAAAAUAAUUUAAAUAAAUAUAAAAAAAAAACAAUAACUGAUUAUGAUGAAACUUAUCACUGUAACACAUAUGGAGAUAAUUAUAAUAAUACCUCUAAUGAAAAUGAUGAUACAUACAUUUAUCACGAACAGUACGAGUUGUUGUCUAAUGAUGUGAGCGAGACGGAUGAACAAAUUUCUACACAAGUUGAUCAAGUUGGUCAAGUUAG